rnacentral:rRNA from 1 species
CAAGUCGAACGAUGAAGUUCCUUCGGGAAUGGAUUAGUGGCGAACGGGUGAGGAACACGUGAGAAACCUGCCUUUCAUUCUGGGAUAACACCGGGAAACCGGUGCUAAUACCGGAUACUCCAUCUUGGCGGCAUCGCCGAGCUGGGAAAAAAUUUUGAUGAAAGAUGGUCUCGCGGCCUAUCAGCUAGUUGGUGAGGUAAAGGCUCACCAAGGCGACGACGGGUAGCCGGCCUGAGAGGGCGACCGGCCACACUGGGACUGAGACACGGCCCAGACUCCUACGGGAGGCAGCAGUAGGGAAUAUUGGGCAAUGGGCGAAAGCCUGACCCAGCGACGCCGCGUGAGGGAUGAAGGUCUUCGGAUUGUAAACCUCUUUCAGUAGGGAAGAAGCGAAAGUGACGGUACCUAAAGAAGAAGCACCGGCUAACUAUGUGCCAGCAGCCGCGGUAAUACAUAGGGUGCAAGCGUUGUCCGGAAUUAUUGGGCGUAAAGAGCUCGUAGGUCGUUUGUCGCGUCGAUUGUGAAAAUCUGAGGCUCAACCUCAGACCUGCAGUCGAUACGGGCAAACUAGAGUGUGGUAGGGGAGACUGGAAUUCCUGGUGUAGCGGUGGAAUGCGCAGAUAUCAGGAGGAACACCAAUGGCGAAGGCAGGUCUCUGGGCCAUAACUGACACUGAGGAGCGAAAGUGCGGGGAGCGAACAGGAUUAGAUACCCUGGUAGUCCGCACCGUAAACGGUGGGCACUAGUUGUGGGAACCUUCCACGGUUUCCGCGACGCAGCAAACGCAUUAAGUGCCCCGCCUGGGGAGUACGAUCGCAAGAUUAAAACUCAAAGGAAUUGACGG